GGAUGGUUACUCAAGUCAGGUCGAAGAGGACGCAUUGCUAACGCGUUAGGGUGUAACAGCCGCGAGAGUUCGAAUCUCUCACCAUCCGC
rnacentral:tRNA from 1 species